UCUGAUUUAGCAUAUAUAUAAUGCAAGGGAUUGUAAAUCCCUUUAAAGCUGCUAAGCUA
rnacentral:tRNA from 1 species